rnacentral:rRNA from 1 species
CCCUUAGAUGUUCUGGGCCGCACGCGCGCUACACUGAUGCAUUCAACGAGUCUAAAACCUGCUCUGAUAGGGGUGGGUAAUCUUUUGAAUGUGCAUCGUGAUUGGGAUAGAUGAUUGCAAUUUUUCAUCUUCAACGAGGAAUGCCUAGUAAACGCAAGUCAUCAGCGUGCAUUGAUUACGUCCCUGCCCUUUGUACACACCGCCCGUCGCUCCUACCGAUUGAAUGAUCCGAUGAAUAUCAUGGAUUGAGGAUGCAAGUAGGUUCGCCUAUCUUCAUCUUCGAGAAGUGAAGUAAAUCUUAUCAUUUAGAGGAAGGAGAAGUCGUAACA